CAGUAGCCGCGGUAAUACGGAGGGGGCUAGCGUUGUUCGGAAUUACCGGGCGUAAAGCGCACGUAGGCGGCUUGGUAAGUUAGAGGUGAAAGCCUGGAGCUCAACUCCAGAAUUGCCUUUAAGACUGCCGAGCUAGCAGGUGAGAGAGGUAAGUGGAAUUCCGAGUGUAGAGGUGAAAUUCGUAGAUAUUCGGAAGAACACCAGUGGCGAAGGCGGCUUACUGGCUCAUACUGGACGCUGAGGUGCGAAAGCGUGGGGAGCAAACAGGAUUAGAUACCCCAGUAGUCCCUGUCUCUUAUAC
rnacentral:rRNA from 1 species